UAUUUUAAAUAAUAAAAAAUUAACAUAAAUAGUUUUGUAAAAAUUAACAUAAAUAAUAAGAAUUAAUUAAAACACAUUAAACAUAAAAUUAAAAAUCAAACUAAUAAACUUAAUAUCAAUAAAAACUUUUCCUAAAAGAAACUAAUAGAUCUGGGUCACGGGGGCAUCAGAUCAAAGCCAGCAACGGGGAUGCUUUACUGCAAUUCGAGGCUUGUAGAUGGAAGCCUUCGACGGCGGGUAGAUUUGGGAUUUGGAGCUUCACAGCCAAAGGCGACGGUGAGAAAGACGUUGGCAGAAAUGGAGGGGCCGAGAUCAGGUGCUUCAGAGCCAAAAGCUUCGGGGGCGGUGCGGGUCUGUGCUUCAGGGAUAAGGAAGAUAGCCGGUAGGAGUGGUGAUCUACAAUGGGCGAUGACUUCGACCUAGAUCUAGACGGACGUAGAUGUAUUAGUCGUCGAACAAAGGUGGAGGUGGUUGUUCUGGGAUAAGGCUUUGAACGAGCCGUGUCACCAUUGGGUCGCCAAGAGUUUGGUGCAUAUCUGGUGCCCUUUGUCACAGUGAGCCAAGUACUCUGCAGAAACAACUGUCAAAAUAUUGGUAUGUCGCCGAGAAGCGCAUGAAACUUAUGGGCGCGUUGGAGAAAUGUGAUCGGGGCUUGCAGGCUUUCAAGAAGAUCAUAAACGUAGUGCGCUAGGUGGAGUGGUAUCAGUCACCGGCCACCGCCACCGUGUUCAGAAACUUGCAGGAAGCUAAGGGUUUGGAGGUGCUUGGCAGUGUUGCAAGAUCUGAAGCCGAUCUGAAAAGGACUUGGGAUGACGGACAGGCUGGGUGCUCAGAGACGAACGGAUGGGCUGGGUGCAAGUGCUUAGUGAUGGACGAGAUGAUGACGAACGGGCAGGUGUCAUUCAGAGAAAUGGGCAACAAGAUCUAGGCACAGACUCAUUGGAACUGGGGGGUUGAACUCAUCAAACUCUUUAGUGAAGUCAUCGUCGGAUUUGAGGGUUAGGCUGAAGUCAUUAUCAAUGGCUCGUCGGAUUUGUGGCUCGCCAGAUCCUGAGUGUCCUUGAGACAAGCUUAUUUGAAAAAAUUUCUAAUAUUUUGGUGUGUUUCAGAUCUAGGUAUUUCAUAUAUAAAUAUAUAUUAUUUAUUUAAUGAGGCUACCCGAUUUGGAUUGUAUAUUAUGUUCAUUAUUGGCUGACAUUUGUUCAAGCAAUCAUAAACAAUUGGUGAUUAAAAUGAUUUAUGAAGAUAGUUUUGGAAGUUGAUGGGGAGAGACGAUCUAAUGGUCUCUGGUUGGAACUUGUUGAUUGAGAUUUUUGUAUUGAUGUUGAAUCUUGAUUUGAAAUGAACUCAAGAACAUGUUUUUAACA